rnacentral:misc_RNA from 1 species
GCACCGCUCGAGCCCCAUGGCUCGGUGUUGGGACGCUAGGGGUUUCGGCCCCUAGGUCCCCAAAGGUAUCGCGCGGCCCCAGGCACAGGACCCGAGCACAGUAAACACUCUGUUGGCUGCUCUGGGACGCUGGCCCGAGGCGCCUGCCGUAAAACCCCCGACAUAGGCCCCUAGGGCCGACUGAUG